rnacentral:rRNA from 1 species
GGAGUUAGCCGGUGCUUCUUCUGUGAGUGAUGUCCUUCCUGCCGGCUAUUAACCCGCAGGCCUUCUUCCUCACUGAAAGUGCUUUACAACCCGAAGGCCUUCUUCACACACGCGGCAUGGCUGGAUCAGGGUUGCCCCCAUUGUCCAAUAUUCCCCACUGCUGCCUCCCGUAGGAGUCUGGGCCGUGUCUCAGUCCCAGUGUGGCUGAUCAUCCUCUCAGACCAGCUACGGAUCGUCGCCUUGGUGAGCCGUUACCUCACCAACCAGCUAAUCCGACAUAGGCUCAUCCGAUAGCGCGAGGCCCGAAGGUCCCCCGCUUUCCCCCGUAGGCGUAUGCGGUAUUAGCCUGGGUUUCCCCCAGGGUUAUCCCCCACUACCGGGCAGAUUCCUAUGCAUUACUCACCCGUCCGCCGCUCGCCACCAGGGAGCAAGCUCCCCGUGCUGCCGCUCGACUUGCAUGUGUAGCNCGCCGCCACGCGUCAUCUGACAAGAUACAAUUACUGA